rnacentral:rRNA from 1 species
AUUGAACGCUGGCGGCAUGCUUUACACAUGCAAGUCGAACGGUAACUGCACUUCGGUGGCUGACGAGUGGCGAACGGGUGGGUAAUACAUCGGAACGUGCCUAGUAGUGGGGGAUAACUACUCGAAAGAGUAGCUAAUACCGCAUGAGAUCUAAGGAUGAAAGCAGGGGACCUUCGGGCCUUGCGCUACUAGAGCGGCUGAUGGAAGAUUAGGUAGGUGGUGGGAUAAAAGCUUUCCAAGCCGACGAUCUGUAGCAGGUAUGAGAGGACGACCAGCCAGACUGUGAGUGAGAAUGAGCCGAGACUCUUACAGGAGGACACGGUGCGGAAUCUUGGGGGAUGGAGCCAAGCCUGAUCCAGCAAUACCGCGGGCAGGAUGAAGGCCUUCGGGUUGGUGACUGCUGAUGUACGGAGGGAAGAACCCUCUUCUAAUACAGGAGGGUCAUGACGGUACCGUAAGAAUAAGCACCGGCUAACUACGUG